rnacentral:lncRNA from 1 species
AUGAUUUUUCAACUCUGUGUAUUACGUUUUGGGGAAAUGAAGUGUGUCCAGGUUUUCUGGAGAUUGGUCCACAUCCCUGAGAUUUCGGUGGAAAUGUACCCCCUUGUACCGUCUUUUCAAGUCCUCUUCUCUUCUCCUCUUGUCACUAGGGACUCUUCCCUGGUUAUCAAGUUUGUGAUUCAUCACAGGAAGUACAGCAGGACAAGUGGGAGAGGACCAUUGCAUAGACCUGUGUCUGAAAUCCUCUGAACAUGUAUCAUAAUGACUUGGACACAGUUGCAGAGCAUGUUUUUGUCACAAGAAGUCGUAGUUAUUUCUUCAAAAAGUAAAUUGAGGGGCUAGAGAUUUAGCUCAGUGGUGCCACCACCUGCCUCGCAAGCACAAGGUCCCGAAUUUGAUCCCAGGUACCAAAAAAGAAAAAGUAAAUUGAAGCUAAACUUGAGGCAAGGUCAAUUCUAGAACCCCAGACACCUGACUUCCAAUCAGGGCUCUAUUCCAUUAAACCCAGACUUCUGGGAAGAUGGCAGAGUGAUAACAAGCAACAAAUCAACCUCUCUAAGAUUCAGAAUCCAGACAUUGGAAAAUAACAACUUGAGGAACAAAAGAAGAAGGACAGGUCUGCGAUCACCGGCGGCGUGCGCGUGAGCUCCCGGCCUGCGCGUGAGCUCCCGGCCUGCGCGACAACAGACCCAGGAAGGACCCAAGGACCCCAGAGGGGGUUUUUUUCAGCUGCCUGCCUACCUGCC